GGCUCACCAGGUACAGGAUGUCUAGGGGUUCGAGGGGGAGGUUCCCCCACACGGGAAUUGGGCCCCGUUCCAGAUUCUUACGGGAGGCACCAGUGAGGAAUAUUGCACAUGGGUAUGAACAGCAAUCCACCAAUGUCGCGCCAAGGUUACGGUCUUAUGGAUUGUAAACUUCUUUUUUGUGAAAGUAAUUCGGGGCACGUGUGCAUCGUUGCGAGUACCCUAGGAAUAAGCAUCGGCUAACUCCGUGCCAGCAGCCGCGGUAAUACGGAGGAUCCAAGCGUUUUCCGGAUUUAUUGGGUUUAAAGGGUACGUAGGCGGAUUAUAAAGUUAACGGGAAAACUCACGGGUUCAACCUGCAACGUGCCGUUAAAAAUGCUUAUUAUGAAACAGGAUAGAGAUGGAGGAAUGUGUAGGGGAGCGGGGAAAUGCAAAGAAUUUACCCAAAACCCCGAUUGGGAAGGCCUCUUACAAAGCCUAGAUGGACGGUGAGGCAGGAAAGUGGGGGGGUCAAACCGGAUUAAAAACCCUGGUAGUCCAAUACUGUAAACGAUGAUAACUCGCUGCGGGCGAUAUAUAGCCGGUGGCCCAGCGAAA
rnacentral:rRNA from 1 species